CUUCCAAUUCAUCGGAAUCAAUUCGACUGUAAAUCACUGUUUCUCUUAUAUUAAUCAUCAUCAUCAUCCACUCCCAUUCAUUCUAUAACAUUCUUCAAUCCCAUCUUAAUUAGAUGCAUCCUUCCACCUCCCUUUGUUUCUUCACAUAUAUAAAUCCUUUUGUAUCAGUUCACUUUGAACCAUAGUUUACAUCCUCCAUACGACAACAUUGAUCGACAGCCAUGAUAUCCGCUCAUGUUUCCGGGAAGUCUCAAGUUGCCCUCAUCGGCUUCAUCUCAUCUAAUCGUGCUCCACGAUACGAGCCUCAACUCAAACCAGGAGCUAAUUACAGCCUUCAGAAUUUCUUCGCAACCACAAUCGACUAGAUGAACUGUUGGAUUGUAAUCCAGAGACUGCUAAGCUGGUGAAUGAGGAGGAGGUAACUAAGGCUGAGACAAGGGAUCCGCCAAGGUAGAACUAGAGCUGUAGAUAUGCCACUCAAAUCAACAUGCCUAACUACGUAUAUCACCUUGUCGUUGACGAACGCAGGAAGCGUUUUUUUUUUGUCUAUAACUGUUACAAAAGUUGUCUCUUUCUACCACCUCUGACAGUCGCACAGAUGAAACCACAUUUGCUGCAACUGCUGAAUUGCCACUGCUCUCUGCAAAUGUUUUUUUCUGUAUCUUCCAAAGGAUGUGGAGACCUUGCUGAUGAGGGAAUUGGCGGCUCAAGUAACAGUGGCGAAGUACAGGGAGCCAAACGUGCUACACAUGGAAAAUAAUGCAUCAAUCGUUCAUCCCAUAGAUUGGACGCCGAGGUUUCUGUUUCACUUUCGUUCGAGUUCUUAAGUUUUGUUCUGUUAUUGCUAUCUCGCACCUUUUGACCCAACCAAGAAGAAGAAGAUGAAAAUUGUCAUUUUGGAUCCUAUCGAGGACUCAACAGAGUCACAAGCGGAGAAAACUGAUUCAUCCCCUCGAGUUUAUGUGCCGUGAAACUUUGGCUGUUUCUUUUCAAUGGUGUACAUACAUUUUUUUGUUUUUAUUUAUUUUCACUGCAGCUUUUGAUGGCCUUCAAAGUUCAUUUGUUGGACAGAACUCAGUGAGUGUUCUAACGUCUUGCCUCUUUUAAACUCUUUUUUUUUUUGAAACUGGUGUUCUGAUGAUUAUGUAUCUCGCAUUGUUUUUUUUUUCCAAUGGGUGGGUUUAAUCAACCUCACAUUUACAUGAACAGUCGCCACGGUGAUCAGUGGCCUUAUUCUACUAUAGAUUCCAACGACAUCAUAUCUUCACAGUCAAAAAAUGGGGAGAUGAACAUGGCGACUGGAGGACAUCCUAGAAACUGCAGCGAAUCAUACUUGACACUACAAUGUGCUCCAGUUUACUAGAUGUUUCCAAAUGAAAUUUGGUAGGUCAUCAAGAAACUUCUCUAUUUACUUAACCAAGGGGAGUCAUUCACCAAGGUUGUUUUUAUGGUUACAUGCAUUCCAGUUUCAUUCAUCUGAAACCCUGAUGAACGUUUAUAUGUUCCAGUCUAAGACAAUGGUUUGGGAGAAUGAUCUACUUGAUUUUGAAGGAAUUGUCUCCAAGAGCUGAGGUUCGUUGUCCGUAAUUUGCCUUAGUAGCGAAAUCCUAACACUUAUGUUAGGUAUAGAUUCCUCUGCCGAAUAAUAGACGAAACCCUUUUCACACCAACUGAGAGAUACUUGAAACAAGCUAUUGUCGAAAAGAAUCAUGGUGUUUCAAGCUAUCUGCUAUCAUGAUUUUUGCAUGCUUAUUGGUUGCAAAAUCAAUACUUCCCUUAAGAUGGCUGCCAUGAUGGAUGCUUUAGUUACUGCUUGACCUGAAUCAACUUGAAAAGAUUGAAGAUUACUUCUUGGAAGUAUUUUUAAAUAUGAAGCACAAUGCUGCCACUGCCACAUAUAAUACAAAGGCCGUUUACUAUGUUCUAAGACCCAAUUUAUGAUCUAAAAAUUCUUACGUUUCCAUGUGUUUUGUUUCUAUUUUUACUGCUAUUUUGUUUGUGCUUUUUUUGAAU